AAAAAGACAAACCCUAGUUUCCGUAUCCAACGUUUGACCGUUCGUCUUAUUUGAAAAAAUUAUAAAAAAAAUUAAAAAGAUAAGUCACGCAUAAAGUAUUAAUCAUGUUUUAUCAUCUAACAACAAUGAAAAUACUAAUUACAAAAAAAUUUCAUAUAAUAUGGACAGUCAAACGUUGGCACGUUGGCACGGAAACAUAGGGUUUGCCUUUACU
rfam:Oryza barthii chromosome 4, whole genome shotgun sequence.